UACGUAGGGUGCGAGCGUUAAUCGGAAUUACUGGGCGUAAAGGGCGCGUAGGCGGCCCUCCAAGUCAGAUGUGAAAGCCCCGGGCUCAACCUGGGAAUUGCAUUCGAGACUGCAUUGCUGGAGUACGGAAGAGGAGGGCGGAAUUCCCGGUGUAGCGGUGAAAUGCGUAGAUAUCGGGAGGAACAUCAGUGGCGAAGGCGGCCCUCUGGUCCAGUACUGACACUCAAGUGCGAAAGCGUGGGGAGCAAACAGG
rnacentral:rRNA from 1 species